GGGAUUCUGGGGAAGAGCUGCCGCUGACCCACAAAGCCAGUGAAGCCCAUUCCCCUUUCUUUGUCUCUCAUUUUAGACUGUAGCUGUCUAAAGGGCGUGAUAAUAAGAGGAGAGGGUGGUUUAGCUUCCCCUGGAGAGGGAGGUGUUGAGACUUGAUCUGAGGCUGUUAAACCCUUUUAUCUCCUUCCCGUGGGGUUGUGGCUUUAGCUCCCCAUUGAGGAUUCCUGCCUGCUCUUCUCUGACCUCCCCUCUACUCCAGGCCUGAAUAGCCCAGGUGUUUACCUGCCACGACACAGACACUUCUUGCUUAGGCUUACAAUUUUAACACAGGGGGAGACAAAGUUGUAGUUUUUCUACUCCUUUGCCUUCACUCCUGUUUAAUUUUCCACUGUGGUCAGAUAAGUAUUUUUUAAACGACCGUACUCAAACUUCUGGUACUGAGCAAUGGGGGAACCUCACUAUGGCUGUAAACCCUUCCACUGGACACUAAUCAAAUGCAUUGCCUCCCAAAAUGAACAUCCUUGGAAGUACCAGAAAAACCCAGCCUCUGAGCAACCCCCAAACCAAAGUAGCCUCAUCAUGCCAAAACUAGGCCAGGUUUUAAGGGUGCACGUGCCUCAAAAUAGCAUCCAGCCUUGAUUGAUUGAUUGAUUAAUUGGCCAAGCGGGUGUGCUGGGGGUGGUCUUGCUGUGUUGCCCAGGCUGGUCUGAAACUCAUGGCCUCAAGCAGUCCUCCCACAUAGCUGGCAUUACAGGUUCGAGCCACCACACCUAGCUGCUUCCACACUUAAACAUCCUCCAACAUCUUACCUGGUAGCUCACCGGCAGCUCACAGACACACGUCCAGUGUUCUCUGUGGGAUAGCCCAGGGAUGUAUGAUGAGCAUAAAAAGGACAAUCAGUUAAAAGGCAAAACAAAACUUAAUAGUAAUGAUCCAGAGCAACUUCCUCAGGAUUUUAAAGAGCUCUUCUUAGUUCCUACUCUUCAUCCUCACAAACUUAAUAAGGCAGUUUGCACUUGUGUUUUGCCUCAAGGAUUUUUUUUUCCCUUGCUGUAAGUUGGCCUUGCAAGCAUGCCUUCCCUUCCCUAUUAAAAAAAGAACAGGCCUGGGCAGAUUGUCCUUUUGUGAGAGAGUUUGAAACCUCUCAGGAGGUAACCCUAGAUAUCAGCUGUGUAGGAGGUUGCUGAUAUCUGUGUUUCUCCAGAGGGGCUGAAAAGGACUUCGCUUACAUAAACACUUUCAGCUGAGUGCCUGGAAAUGCUUUGUAAUGGCCUGCAAGAGCACUUAAUGAGGGUCUUUUAUACUUUUCCCAUAGAAAAGGUAGAAUAGAAGAGGGGGGGAUGUCUCUUUCACAUGGUCACCCACAGUAAAGGCCGGAUCCUGGAGCCUACCCCUAGUUUCCUCAUCUGAAUUUUAAUAGAGAAUAAUUGAGGGGGGAUAACUUUGCUGUGCUGAGGGAUAUCUCGACUCAGAAAAUUUCUGCUUCUCCUCAACUCCCUCUUCAUUUUUUUUCUUCCCCAGCAGCCAUGGAAUUUUAUUUCUUGCGGAAGAAGGUGGAAACAGCAUAGGGUUUUGGGAGGAAAAAUGUCCUGUUUCCCCUUAUCCUGAUUGCGUGAUCCAGUGUGAGCAGCCCUUCAUGAUAAAAUCCACUGUGGUUGAUGUAAGGUCACAGUAGAGGAAGCCGCCCUGUCAUCUCUAAUGAGUUGGGAGAACAAGGGUUUCCUUAGACCUCUUUCUCAAUCUUGAAAAUAAAACCAAUAGUUGUCUAUCAUA
rnacentral:lncRNA from 1 species